UCAAGUAUUAAACUUUCCUUAUUUCUCUAAAUCUUCUAAAAACAACAACUAAAUUCUAUAAGAUCAAGAAAUUUCGGUAGUCAAUCAAGGUAGAAUCAUUCCUAGUCGAUCAUAUCCUUCCAACGGAGAAAAUUCAACAUGUGGGAAAAAUUAAGAGAGAACAUGGACAUAACAACGAAGAUCAUUGACAAUUAAGAGAGAUCAUGG
rnacentral:lncRNA from 1 species